rnacentral:tRNA from 1 species
CGCACCCGUAGCUCAACGGAUAGAGCAUCUGACUACGGAUCAGAAGGUUAGGGGUUCGAAUCCCUUCGGGUGCA